CUGGUAACAGUGGAAACUGAAGUCUUAUGUUUAUCUUCAGGCCAGGACUGAUGGAGGCAGCAACAGUACAUGCUUUCCAAAACUGACCUGCUAAUGACCUCAAUCCUGGCCUAGAGGGGCUUGUAUCCCUUGGAGUGAGAGGAUAUUUAACUCUGAUGUUAGCUCAACCCUGGAAGUCA
rnacentral:sRNA from 1 species